rnacentral:rRNA from 1 species
AACGUAGGACGCAAGCGUUAUCCGGAGUUACUGGGCGUAAAGCGCGGGCAGGCGGCCUCGCAAGUCUGAUGUGAAAGCACUCUGCUCAACAGAGUGAUGCCAUUGGAAACUACGAGGCUGGAGUCUGGCAGAGGUAGGCGGAAUUCCGGGUGGAGUGGUGAAAUGCGUAGAGAUCCGGAGGAACACCAGUGGCGAAGGCGGCAUCCUGGACCGACAUUGACGCUGAGGAGCGAAAGCUAGGGGAGCAAACGGG